GGUUCAUUCAAAUUUCUGCCCUAUCAACUUUCGAUGGUAGGAUAGUGGCUACAUGGUUUCAACGGGUAACGGGGAAUUAGGGUUCUAUUCCGGAGAGGGAGCCUGAGAAACGGCUACCACAUCCAAGGAAGGCAGCAGGCGCGCAAAUUACCCAAUCCCGACCGGGGAGGUAGUGACAAUAAAUACUGAUACAGGGCUCUUUAGGGUCUUGUAAUUGGAAUGAGUACAAUUUAAAUCCCUUAACGAGGAACAAUUGGAGGGCAAGUCUGGUGCCAGCAGCCGGGUAAUUCCAGCUCCAAUAGCGUAUAUUAAAGUUGUUGCAGUUAAAAAGCUCGUAGUUG
rnacentral:rRNA from 1 species